rnacentral:lncRNA from 1 species
AUGGUCAUGUUCCAGAAGUAUUCUCUCCUGAUGUUUUGCCCACAUCUAUGGCAGGCAUCCUCAGAGGUUGUGAGGUAUGGAGAAACUAACUUCUUUCUGCAUGGGGGCAUCCUUUGUUCAGAGUCAUUAGCUGCCCCUGGUUCCCAUGUCUGGAACUCCUCUGUUUUCAGAGUGUUGCUUCGUCAUAGAUGUGGGUGAAAUGUCAGGAGAGAAUACUUCUGGAACAUGGCCAUACAGCCUGGAAAACAUACAACAACCCUGUGAUCCCGGCCAUGAAAGCCUUCAACAACACAUUCAACUUUUCACAUGUUACUUAUGGUAUGGGCAAUGCUAUAAGUGAUGUAAGUCCUAGUGUAAGUAGUGACAAUUGUUGCAGUGACUAGAUGGAUUUUUAGUCCUACAUGGACAUCACCCUUCCUCAUAUAUAUGGUACAACUCCCAUAUCUAUAGAAUAAAUAUCUACAAUUUCAUUUAUAUAUUUCCAACAAAAUGUCUUAUAUGUCUUAUCUAGGAAUUUCCUAGGUCCUUCAAUGUGACUCUAUGGUAUUCUUGGGCCAGAAAUGCUUCAAUAGAAUCCACUAUUAUUCACAUAUCCACACUGUCCAGGAAUGUAUCCCCCAUGGAUAUAGUUUCAUACUGUGCACACAUGCUUUCUCUCCACAGCUCUGAGUUGCUAUAUUACCUGAAAAACUAUGCUGCACCUCAAUUUUGGCCCCAGCUACUCGGGUUGUUCUCAUAUUUAUUUCCACAGUUAGGUGACCCAGAAGCAAUUCUGCCCCACUUGCUCAUCCUUGCCUGGUGAUCCACUUUGACACCACAAGGAACUUCAUUCUCAUACUAUGGCAUGGCUCUGAAAUUUCAAGGAAUAGGAUGUUACUGAGCUGGAAAUCCUAAGCAGAGUUAGAACUUGUGAUAAAUUCACUAUAUAGGAUAGUAGCAGUCAUUCUUCAAAUAUGCAGUGGCCUUUUCAACACACUUUCUCAUACAACAGCCCCUUUUUAAGCAAAUGCAAAAGGAGUUAGUUUUAACCUCAAAAAUCUUUUCCUCAUCAUUUGCAAUAUAGAAUCACAAACACAUUGCAUCUUCCGGUAAGUACAUUAUAUAUACGUAUUUUUAUAAAAAAAUGGUAAUACUCCUCCACCUCCUUCCCAAGUCCUAAGGUUUAAUUUUCAUGAUUAUGUUAGAUUAUGAGUCAUUUUAAAUCAUGGUAUCCAGUAGAGACUGCUCCUACUCAGCAGCUCUUUUCAACAGUUGUUUAUGGUAGUUUCAGCCUCUUUCUGCCUCUCGCAGGCUCUUUAUUUUUAAAGCAAGGCAGACAAGGCCUAAAAUUAUUCCAUUAAAGAGGUGCAAUUUUUGUAAUGGGACUUAGAGUGCUCUGCAGAAGUGCAGGCAAGUUUCUUCAAUAUCCUGAGCAUUAUUCGCUCAUUUAGUUAAAUGAUGUUUCUAAUUCCCUGGUAAUUACAUGUAAUGAGGCACUCUUUC